rnacentral:lncRNA from 1 species
CCCUUUCCCGGCAGGCCCCGCUAGAGUCCGCAGCCCGCCCGCCCGCUGGCUCUCGGGCCCAGCCGGGCUGCCUGGUUAGCCCGGGGAGGGCCACAUCCCUGCCGCCCCAGUCACCGCCCUUCUUGAGCCGGGAAUCCCGCCCACGCCGCGCCACGCUCCGCCCCCGGAACAUACUAGGCGAUCUCGACAGUCGCUCCGUGACAGCCCACCAACCCCCAACCCUCUACCUCGCAGCCACCCUAAAGGCGACUUCAAGAAGAUGGAAGGAUCUCACGGAUCUCAUUCCUAAUGGUCCGCCGAAGUCUCACACAGUAGACAGACGGAGUUGAGAUGCUGGAGGAUGCAGUCACCUCCUAAACUUACGACCCACCACCAGACUUCAUCCCAGCCGGGACGUCCUCCCCCACCCGAGUCCUCCCCAUUUCUUCUCCUACUUUGCCGCAGUUCCAGGUGUCCUGCUUCCACCAGUCCCACAAAGCUCAAUAAAUACCAAGAGACCUGCAUUUACAGCAGGGGGAACAUCUCACACCCUUGCAUAAGUUAAAAUAAAUAUUACGUACACAUCUCCAUCA